UCCAGAACCCAGGGUGGUGGCGAGGUGG
rnacentral:piRNA from 2 species